rnacentral:rRNA from 1 species
AUAGGGGAGCCGAAGGGAAACCGAGUCUUAAUUGGGCGUUAAGUUGCAGGGUAUAGACCCGAAACCCGGUGAUCUAGCCAUGGGCAGGUUGAAGGUUGGGUAACACUAACUGGAGGACCGAACCGACUAAUGUUGAAAAAUUAGCGGAUGACCUGUGGCUGGGGGUGAAAGGCCAAUCAAACCGGGAGAUAGCUGGUUCUCCCCGAAAGCUAUUUAGGUAGCGCCUCGUGAACUCAUCUUCGGGGGUAGAGCACUGUUUCGGCUAGGGGGCCAUCCCGGCUUACCAACCCGAUGCAAACUACGAAUACCGAAGAAUGUUAUCACGGGAGACACACGGCGGGUGCUAACGUCCGUCGUGAAGAGGGAAACAACCCAGACCGCCAGCUAAGGUCCCAAAGUCAUGGUUAAGUGGGAAACGAUGUGGGAAGGCACAGACAGCCAGGAUGUUGGCUUAGAAGCAGCCAUCAUUUAAAGAAAGCGUAAUAGCUCACUGGUCGAGUCGGCCUGCGCGGAAGAUGUAACGGGGCUAAACCAUGCACCGAAGCUGCGGCAGCGACACUAUGUGUUGUUGGGUAGGGGAGCGUUCUGUAAGCCUGCGAAGGUGUGCUGUGAGGCAUGCUGGAGGUAUCAGAAGUGCGAAUGCUGACAUAAGUAACGAUAAAGCGGGUGAAAAGCCCGCUCGCCGGAAGACCAAGGGUUCCUGUCCAACGUUAAUCGGGGCAGGGUGAGUCGACCCCUAAGGCGAGGCCGAAAGGCGUAGUCGAUGGGAAACAGGUUAAUAUUCCUGUACUUGGUGUUACUGCGAAGGGGGGACGGAGAAGGCUAUGUUGGCCGGGCGACGGUUGUCCCGGUUUAAGCGUGUAGGUGUGUGUUCCAGGUAAAUCCGGUUCACUUUAACACUGAGGCGUGAUGACGAGGCACUACGGUGCUGAAGUAACAAAUGCCCUGCUUCCAGGAAAAGCCUCUAAGCAUCAGGUAACACGAAAUCGUACCCCAAACCGACACAGGUGGUCAGGUAGAGAAUACCAAGGCGCUUGAGAGAACUCGGGUGAAGGAACUAGGCAAAAUGGUGCCGUAACUUCGGGAGAAGGCACGCUGACAUGUAGGUGAAGCCCCUGCGGGGGGAGCUGAAGUCAGUCGAAGAUACCAGCUGGCUGCAACUGUUUAUUAAAAACACAGCACUGUGCAAACACGAAAGUGGACGUAUACGGUGUGACGCCUGCCCGGUGCCGGAAGGUUAAUUGAUGGGGUUAUCGCAAGAGAAGCUCCUGAUCGAAGCCCCGGUAAACGGCGGCCGUAACUAUAACGGUCCUAAGGUAGCGAAAUUCCUUGUCGGGUAAGUUCCGACCUGCACGAAUGGCGUAAUGAUGGCCAGGCUGUCUCCACCCGAGACUCAGUGAAAUUGAACUCGCUGUGAAGAUGCAGUGUACCCGCGGCAAGACGGAAAGACCCCGUGAACCUUUACUACAGCUUGACACUGAACAUUGAGCCUUGAUGUGUAGGAUAGGUGGGAGGCUUUGAAGCGUGGACGCCAGUCUGCGUGGAGCCAACCUUGAAAUACCACCCUUUAAUGUUUGAUGUUCUAACCUGGCGCC